UUAUUAAGUCUCCCAAACGAAGUUUGGGAAGACUUAUUGUUUUUGCUCAGUUAUUAUUAUUAUUAUUCUUCUUCUUCUUCUUCUUCCGCCGCUUUUAAAUUUGAACUUGUCCGCACCUGUUCUCCUAAACCGCUUGUCAGAUUAACUUAGGGUUUCACAAUAUGUUAGACUAACAUGUUUAGUGGUGCAAUCAGGGUUUUGUUUGUGCAAUGGGGUUUAUAAAGGGGUACUUUGAGGGGCAAAAAGAAAAGAGGGUUUUACUAUAGAACCCUAUGGGAUUUUAUUUUUUUAAAUUUUCAAAUGAUUAUAAAUUGAAAACCGUUUGUGAUAGACACAAUCUUUUAAAUUGAAAAUGUUCUAAAUGAUAAAGCCCAUUAAAUGAAAUAUAGGGUUAGUCCCCAGGGGUCACCCCCACCCCCUGCCAUUUAAGAAAGUUCUAAUAUCUUCUAAGUGGUCAAGAUCCCCACCCCUAAACCAUAUAUAUUCUGGUUUGUCAUGCUAAGAUGGUAUGAAUGAUAUACAGGGUUAGUCCCCAGGGGUCAUCCCGACCCCCUGCCAUUUGAUUAAUUUCUAAUAUCUUGUAAAUGGUCGAGAUCCCCACCCCUAAACCAAAUAUAUUCUGGUUUGUCAUGAUAAAGCACAUCAAAUGAAAUACAGGGUUAGUCCCCAGGGGUCACCCCCACCCCCUGCCAUUUAAGAAAGUUCUAAUAUCUUGUAAGUGGUCAAGAUCCCCACCCCUAAACCAUAUAUAUUCUGGUUUGUCAUGCUAAGAUGGUUUGAAUGAUAUACAGGGUUAGUCCCCAGGGGUCAUCCAGACCCCCUGCCAUUUGAGAAAGUUCUAAUAUCUUGUAAAUGGUUCGGAUCCCCACCCCUAAACCAUAUAUAUUCUGGUUUGUCAUGAUAAAGCACAUCAAAUGAAAUACAGGGUUAGUCCCCAGGGAUCACCCCCACCCCCUGCCAUUUAAGAAAAUUCUAAUACCUUGUAAGUGGUCAAGAUCCCCAC